rnacentral:rRNA from 1 species
AUUGAACGCUGGCGGCAUGCCUUACACAUGCAAGUCGAACGGCAGCACGGGUGCUUGCACCUGGUGGCGAGUGGCGAACGGGUGAGUAAUACAUCGGAACGUACCUUAUCGUGGGGGAUAACGCAGCGAAAGCUGUGCUAAUACCGCAUACGCCCUGAGGGGGAAAGCGGGGGAUCGAAAGACCUCGCGCGAUUAGAGCGGCCGAUGCCUGAUUAGCUUGUUGGUGGGGUAAAAGCCCACCAAGGCGACGAUCAGUAGCUGGUCUGAGAGGACGAUCAGCCACACUGGGACGGAGACACGGCCCAGACUGCGACGGGAGGCAGCAGUGGGGAAUGUUGGACAAUGGGGGCAACCCUGAUCCAGCAAUGCCGCGUGAGUGAAGAAGGCCUUCGGGUUGUAAAGCUCCUUUGUCAGGGAAGAAACACCGGCUCUAACACAGUCCGGGAAUGACGGUACCUGAAGAAUAAGCACCGGCUAACUACGUGCCAGCCGCCGCGGUAA